rnacentral:lncRNA from 1 species
UAUUUUAACCCACAGAACAUACUCACAAAACAAUGAUAAAGCUGGACUUUUUAUGGAAACUCACCAAAACCUUUCAGCUAUAAGUUAAAGAGUUAUCAUUGUGAAAAUCACUAAAGGUUGGCUAAGAAUAGUUGUAUGUGGCAUUUGUGCUUGGGCCGCCCCCAUUUCCCUUCUUGAUGUUGUGUUGACAGGAUUGUUCUACAUAGAAAAAGCAUACUGUGCGACCUGGUGUCUCUGUUUCCACUCCAGAGAUGGCUCAGUUGCUAACUGUUAGUUACAGUGGAGAUUUUGAUGAUCAGGGAGAGAGCUAUGUGGCUCUGUUGCAUUGAUGCUACCAGCUAGUUUAAUGCAAUCAAGGUCUACCAUCAAGUUCACUAGUCUUGGUUUAAUUAGGAAAUUGCAGUUUGUGAGACAGUGGUAGGAACCUAGAGAAACUCCCCAAAUCCUUUGCGUUGAGUUGAGUAGAUGGUGUGUGUACACACUGAAGAGAUGGGAGUGGGCCUAGUAUAACUCAUAUCUGCCUGUACAUGAAUUGAGAGAAAGCCAGAAUGGACCAAUGGGAGCCCAGGUUACAGUAAAAUUCAGGGCUCACUUGGAAGUGACCCAUACCCUUUUCUCAUUGGUCCAUAAAUAGAUCCAUCAAUAGAUACUAGAACUCUGAUUUGCUCAUCAUUUUUGAGCAAAUGAGUAAUCAGUUUUGACUUGCAGGGAAAUUUGCCCAUUCCAAGUUGACCCCUAUAAUACCAUGCUUGAAAGAAAAACAAAACAAGCUGCCCCAAGAAGAAGAGGAGGAGGAUGAAGAGAGGAGGAAGAGGGAAGAAGAGGGCAGACGAGGAGAAGGAAGAAGAGAGAGAGAGAGAGAGAGAGAGAGAGAGAGAGAGAGAGAGAGAGAGAGAAAGAAAAGAGAAGGAAGGAAGGAAG